rnacentral:rRNA from 1 species
GACGAACGCUGGCGGCGUGCUUAACACAUGCAAGUCGAGCGGGGACUUAAGGGAGCUUGCUCCUGAGAGUUCUAGCGGCGGACGGGUGAGUAACGCGUGAGCAACCUUUCUCUCAGUGGGGAAUAACACAGGGAAACUUGUACUAAUACCGCAUGAGACCACAGUGCUGCAUGGCACAGGGGUCAAAGAUUUAUCGCUGAGAGGUGGGCUCGCGUCCGAUUAGGUAGUUGGUGAGGUAACGGCCCACCAAGCCGACGAUCGGUGGCCGACCUGAGAGGGUGAUCGGCCACAUUGGGACUGAGACACGGCCCAAACUCCUACGGGAGGCAGCAGUGGGGAAUAUUGGGCAAUGGGGGAAACCCUGACCCAGCAACGCCGCGUGGAGGAAGAAGGUUUUCGGAUCGUAAACUCCUGUCCUCAGGGAAGAGCAGAAGACGGUACCUGAGGAGGAAGCCCCGGCUAACUACGUGCCAGCCGCCGCCGUAAGAC